rnacentral:rRNA from 1 species
AGAGUUUGAUCCUGGCUCAGGACGAACGCUGGCGGCGUGCCUAAUACAUGCAAGUCGAGCGAAUCAUUAGGAGCUUGCUCCUUUUGGUUAGCGGCGGACGGGUGAGUAACACGUGGGCAACCUGCCUGUAAGACUGGGAUAACACCGGGAAACCGGUGCUAAUACCGGAUAAUCCUUUUCCUCACAUGGGGGAAAGCUGAAAGACGGUUUCGGCUGUCACUUACAGAUGGGCCCGCGGCGCAUUAGCUAGUUGGUGAGGUAACGGCUCACCAAGGCGACGAUGCGUAGCCGACCUGAGAGGGUGAUCGGCCACACUGGGACUGAGACACGGCCCAGACUCCUACGGGAGGCAGCAGUAGGGAAUCUUCCGCAAUGGACGAAAGUCUGACGGAGCAACGCCGCGUGAGCGAUGAAGGCCUUCGGGUCGUAAAGCUCUGUUGUUAAGGAAGAACAAGUAUCGGAGUAACUGCCGGUACCUUGACGGUACCUAACCAGAAAGCCACGGCUAACUACGUGCCAGCAGCCGCGGUAAUACGUAGGUGGCAAGCGUUGUCCGGAAUUAUUGGGCGUAAAGCGCGCGCAGGCGGUCCUUUAAGUCUGAUGUGAAAGCCCACGGCUCAACCGUGGAGGGUCAUUGGAAACUGGGGGACUUGAGUGCAGAAGAGGAAAGUGGAAUUCCACGUGUAGCGGUGAAAUGCGUAGAGAUGUGGAGGAACACCAGUGGCGAAGGCGACUUUCUGGUCUGUAACUGACGCUGAGGCGCGAAAGCGUGGGGAGCAAACAGGAUUAGAUACCCUGGUAGUCCACGCCGUAAACGAUGAGUGCUAAGUGUUAGAGGGUUUCCGCCCUUUAGUGCUGCAGCUAACGCAUUAAGCACUCCGCCUGGGGAGUACGGCCGCAAGGCUGAAACUUAAAGGAAUUGACGG